AUUCAGUCUAUGUACAUAUUUAAGGUAUGUUAACAGUUAUAAUUUUAGUUCAUGAGAUUCUUGGCUGCUCGUUCAGUUGAGAUAAACUGUGGAAAAGCUUAAGGGAACAGAAAGCUUACUAUUUGUUGACCUUUGUUUUAAUUUUAGAUGAUCAUGAACUUGUUACAUUACAAGCUUGGCAGAUUUCUAUUAAGAAAACACAUAUGGCAGACAGAUUUUGAUUUUAUGGCAAUAAUUUUGUAUAUAACAUGGGCAGGAAUGAUCAUUGCAGAUUUUUGCAGAUAUCUUUUAGAAUAAACCUCUAGAUCAAUGUAAGAUGCAUUGGACUUGGUGGGACGGCUUGUGGGUUAGGAUAUGUAGACUAAUCCAACUGGGGUGCCUCAAAAAGAAGUUGAGAUAUAUAUCAUCUUUCUGUGUAUAUUUCAAUUUAAUGCCAACCUUAAAUGGAUGGAUUUAUCUUGUAUAUGCUAUGCUACGUUGCAUAAUCAUUGUAUGUGGAGAUUAUAAGAUAUAGUAAUUUAGGAUAUUUCUGACCCUAAAAGAAACAAAAUAGUUCGGAAACCUUGUAUAGAUUAUGCGGUAAACUUGGAGGAUUCAAAAUGAAUUUUUAUCUUCGUGUUGCUUCUGAAGCUAAGGAUCCCCCUUUUUUGGGGGGAAUUAACAUAUUCAACUAUGAUUUGUUGCAUUUUGCUAAUCUAUGAGACCUUUAUUUACAGCAACCAGGUAUUGGAGGUGA
rnacentral:misc_RNA from 1 species